CGUUUAGGGGUAAACCUGAGAAACCCGAAAGGUCGAAGGGAGAAAUUCAAUGCGUUUUUUCAUAGUUGACAGCUUAUUGAGAUGAUUGAGACGAGAUUUGAUGUUGAAUUGAUUGAAUGGCUUUAAAACCCAGUCAUGAUAUGAGACGACAAAAUUUUGCUCCAUCUUUUUGCUGUUUGUACUGAUUAUGAACGUGUGCACUUUUCUCCUGGUAGGACGUCGCGAUCCGUUGAGUGUUGGUUUACGGAUACGUGGUGGAGCCCGUUUUUAUAUGAAAUUUUUAAUUUUAUAUCAUAAUCGGACCCAUGUAUAUACCUAACCAACUUGCUCGACGGUAUCAUGAAAAAUAGGUUUCAAGCCGCUAAUAUAAUAAAAUAGCGUUUGGGAAAUAACAAGCCUCUCCGUUAUGUGUUUUGAAUAAUUGGACAUAUGUGCCGUAUUUGAUCACUAACAGCUGUUGGUUAUUUUAUUCUCAAACAGACUUGAUUAAACCGUAUCAGCGACGCUAUAGUUUUGGGUAAUUUCAGGGCCCGUCUUGAAACACGGACCAAGGAGUCUAGCAUAUGUGCAAGUCAUUGAGAUUUAAUAAGCUCAAAGGCGAAAUGAAAGUAAAGAUCUUUCUUUUGUAAAGAUUUAGGGAAGACAAGUUUAUUAUUAUAUUAGACUUUGCAUUCCCGGGACGUUUCAAUGUGAAA
rnacentral:rRNA from 1 species